rnacentral:lncRNA from 1 species
AUCCAUUCAAACAACAAAUUGUAAAUAUAAUCUAUUCUUUUCUCAUCCCCCCAAUAUUUUGCACAUAUUUUUACAAAUACCAACCUACAAUACACAUUUACAAAAAGAGGUUCCCUUAGAGUACUAAGGAUGUUUUGGGUGCUUAAAACCUUCCCAUUUCAUAACCAACCCCCUUACCCAGAUCUCUGACAUUUUUAUUAGUUUUUGAUUUGAUAAAACAUCUUACUUGGCUUUUG